CAUCAGCAUGCGUUCAGUGCCCACUGCUGAAGAAUGAGAGCGAUUCUAAAGAACGGAAGUGAACCGACCAUUUUGAAACCCCGCUCCGCUUAGCGCUAUGGAUAAGGGCCACACGGUUAAGCUCUUCGUAGGGAAUCUGGCCCUGGACACCACGCAAGAAGAACUGUCAGCCAUCUUUGAGGCGUAUGGCCAGGUGGUUAGCUGCAGCGUCUUGAGACAGUUUGCUUUUGUACACUUGCAAGGAGAGGGCUCUGCUGAGCGUGCCAUCCGGGAGCUCAAUGGCCGAGAGUUCAAAGGACGCAACCUUGUGGUCGAGGAGUCCCGAGGACGCCCGCUCCACUCGACGAAGGUGUUUGUGGGUAAUCUGAGUAGUAUGUGCACCACAGAAGAUCUUCGGGAGCUCUUUCAGACCUUUGGCAAAGUUUUGGAGUGCGAUAAGGUGAAAGGUUAUGCCUUUGUACACAUGGAGAACAAGGAGGAUGCACUGCAGGCAAUUGAAGCUUUGCAUGGGACCUCCUUCAAAGGGAGACCACUCUCCGUAGAGCUGUCCAAAGUUCAGCCAAGUAAGCAGACUCCAACUGGGAAAAUCCCAUGUGUCAGCUGUGGUAAACAGGGUCAUUAUGCAGGUGAAUGCCCAGCUGGUAAACCCACCCUAGAGCAGUACCAGAGCCAAGCGGCUGUGUUAGCCGCCGCCGCCGCUGCAGCUGCCGGCCUUCCACUGCAGGUUCAACAGAGUGUCCACAAUUCCGUGUACAACACCUCAACCUUUGACCCCACGUAUGCUGCUUUGACUGGACUUACAGCUGCUGGUGCAAGGGCGGAAGGAGGGACUGCAGUGGCGCCAGCUGUGUACGGUGCACUAGCUAGUCAGUUGUACGGGACGGUUUCCAAUCAGCUCUACAGUGGGGCAGUUGCAAAUCAGGCACUCAACUCUAGUGCAGCUGCAGCUGCCGCACAGAUGUACGGCUCCGUUAACCCAGCUCUCUACGGGCAGAUGACAAACGGCGCAGUCGCAGCUGCCGCUGCUGCAUACGGUCCACAAGUUUACACGUCUCAUCUAGGGAAUCCAGUGUUCCUAGCUGCAGCGCACGGCAUGGAGGUACCGUCCGCUGCUGCGGUCAACCAAGCUUAUACAGUAGCACCAACUCUCUACACCACUUCGCCGGUUUACGGGGGUUUUGGGGCAGCUGACCAAGCAGCUAUCUUUGAGGCAGCAAGGGCACACUACUUUGCACAAGGACAGCAAGUUCUAGCUGAACAGCAACAGGCUAGCUCAAAGUCUGGAGAGAGGGACCGGAGUCCGCUAAGAAGAUCUGCCCCGCUGCUGCCAGACCCUGUUAUGAAACCAUUUAUGUACCAGAGGGCCAAGCGCAGAGCCUUGUUGCCUACGCCUGCGGGUCGAGAGGAAGCCGCUGCACAGGAGGAUGAAGCUGUAGCCAGAUACUAUGCGGAAUACUACCAGCAGUACCAGCAGCUGCAGCAGUAUCCACAGUACCAGUAUGCGUAUCCGCAUGCCAACCACCUCGCAGCGAUGUCCGCACUGCAGACUCUGCCUGGUGUGCCUACUCAGGCGACGCUCGACUCCCUCAGGCCAGUGAUGCCCGCCACCCCCGUGCCUGCCGCUGCCGCCAUCGCCAUGGCAACACCCCGCGUGUAUGAGCCACCGCCGAUUCCGCCGUCGCACAAGGAGCCCCUCCUCCGCCGCCCCGAACUCGCCCUACACACCCCUGAAACACCCUUCCGAUAGUGUGCUCCACGUCCUCUCUGCCUCUCCUUUCCUUGUGCUGCGUGUUUGUGUGUGCGUGUUAGAAAGAAGCCACAGGUGUAUGUUUAUGAUGUGUGCGUGCUUGGGUUUAAGACGGUGGCUGUGUCGGUUUUAACUACAGACUGGAGUCUCUAACCUUGGUUCUGAUCUCACACACACCCAGUGUAGUCAGGGCUGAAAAGGGAAACUGCAUGCUCUCAUUCCUGCAGACGUAACCAAUGUAACACAUUGUCUCUUUAAGAAACCUUCAAUCUAUUGCCAAUUAGUUUUGAAGGGUAGAUUAGGCACUAGCCACAAUGCUUUUUAACUUUUAUAUUCCUAAGUGUUUGUAGUCUAUGAAUGAAUACUGGACUUGAUAUUUUUAAAUACUGCUUGAUUAUAGUUAAUAUGAACUUAACCAGUUUACGUAUACAUAUAGUUAUUAAGACAUUAGAUUUCGAUGCAUUUCAAAAAUGUUGAAAUGAGUUGAAUGUAUGUUUACUCCAAAGGUGUGUGAAGUGUAGGACCAGGGUUGGACAGUAUUUUAUGUGUCUUUGUGUGUGUGUUUCUUGUUUUUCUCUGGGACUGUGGUGUAGCGUGUAUGCUUUCCAUUGGUUGUCAAGACAGGAACGCACACGUGUACAUGUGCACAGGGAAGCGACUUCGAUCCACACGCAAAUACAUAUGCAUCCCUUACACCUCAGAUGGGAGAAACAUUAGUGAUGACCUUUAACCCCACCCUUCCAUCCCUGUCCACCCAUCCUGAAAGCUGAAAGACACUGUGACUUCUCUCCCCUUCGACUUUAAUGUAGCUACUUCCAUAGAUAUGGUGAUGUAUGGGAAGCAACCAAUCAGAGGAAGGUGUAGCUAGUCAGCUUUUGCUGGGAUCUGUCUUACGGGAGCGUCUUUGAGCUCGCCAACUUAACUGCCAGGAUGCAUUGUAGAAUCUGUUUUUGUAAAGUGUCUUUUAUUAAUGCUAUCAUGUUUUUAUAAACAGUAAUAAGGGACUCAAUUAUCCAUUUAAAGAUACAUACUACUUUUAAUUUUUAACUUUUGUUUACAGCUGCAAGAGAGAGAACAUGUUCUUUCUUGUGGCUUUUUCGCAGUGACUGUUUAUAGCCAAAAUUCUCAUUUUUUUCUAGACAAAUAGCCAAAAUUAUGAGUGGCCUACGAUUCUUAUGCCUAAGUGGAGAAAUGUAUUAAAGUUUUGCUAUUUUUUUUUUAUUUUUUAUCUGUAGUCUUAUAAAGUGAAACUGGAUUAAGGCUACACGAAAGUGCUGUAUAUUAAUGUGGUGCUGUGAUUUGGGAUUAAAUGAAUUGGGAGAUUCCUAUCAGUUUCUUUCAGUCUUCCUGCUCAUUUCGCUGCUGCAACUCCAUAGAUGACCCUCACUGCAUCUCUCUCCAUCUCUCUUUGCAUCUACCUCUCAUUUAGUGACAGUAUUUCAUUCAUUUACCAUGCCCCUGUUCACACCUAUGUGCUGAGGAUGCCAGUGUGUGAAUGUGAAUGUGACCUUAGAAAACGUUUUGCAUCGACAUUCAUGUAUGUAGCUCAUAUCACGGUAACUGUUCUUGCCGCAAGUGUUCUCAGAAGAGAAGACUUUAAAGAUCUGUACAUGAUCUUUACGACUAUAAAAAGCCUUCAAAUAAAGAGCCUGCCUGAUCAUUUAAAGAGGGAACUCAAGAGCUUUUGCUUGGAGCUUUAGCUGUUCUUGCUUUUUGAUGUUUCAUGAUUGUUUUUCCUUUGUGAAACGCCCAGAUUCGUAUGAAUCGGAGCCAUGAAAAGAAGCUAAAGGACUAGAGACUGAUCCCAAUCUCACCCCUCUCUAUGGAUGGGGUCCCUGUGGAACUGUGGACACCAUACGCAGCGCUGGUUUGGGGGGAAGAAAGUUAGCGUCGCGCAGUGUACGGGAAAGUCUCUCUCCAUACAGGUAAACGCACUGUGCCUCGCCCCCUUUCUACCUGUCGUCCUCCCCAAUAGCGUUUGCGCCUGACCGUGUAUCCACUCUAUUUCUCCUCGCCACCACCCCACCCCUCUUGUAGAUUCCUCACUUCUCCUUACCACUGCCAUAGCCAAUUGGUUCUCUAAACACCAGUGUUAUGCUACUCUCUGUCACUGCCAAAAAGGGGGGCGGCGCCGCGGCGGGGGUGACCGUUUACUGCUUCUGUGGUUAAUGUGUCUCGGUAAUGGAUGGGUGCUUGGUGCUUUAAUAACUUAUGUGCUGGUUUAGCUUUGGAGAGAGUGUGGUGAUACAAUGUCCGUAAGCAAAUGAAUGUGUGGGAUUGCUGGUUAAUGAUUGAAAGACAUAAAAUGAGUGUUAAAACAAGUUCACAAGGGUGGCUGAUAAAAGUGUGUGACAAAGGUGAGUGAUUGUGAGUCAGCAUCGUCGACUUCACCUGGCGCCCCCUCCAUGUGCCUUUUUUUUUUGUUGUUAAUUUGAUUUAACCCUUGCCCCCAGGCUUCCUCGAGUUUACUCGCCGUUAACGCCCAGCUCACCGCCGCCCUCGUCGCAUCCCCAGUGCUAGUUGUUACGUUUGUUCAGUGUUAGCCACUGCUUGAGCGCAUCCCCAAAAGCUCUGUGACUGGACCUGAGACACUGGCCAAAAUUUUAUUCGCAAGACUCUCAUUUGGGCUCAGUGACACUGGAAACCCUUAUCAAGCAGUGCUUGACUGUUAUACACUGCUCCGCCGUAAACCAACAAAGCAUUCUUAUCAUAAACAUACGCUUUUGUUACCUAGAUGGACAACAAUUCUUGAGCAGCAGCUUAGUUAUAGACAAACCACUUACCAUAUUUGGUUUUUGUUUGUCAGAUGAAAAGACAUUCAAUUUUAGGAGUUAAUUUUAAAGCUACCUUGCGUUACCUGUUCAAAUGAGAGUCUGUUAUAAUGUUUGUGUUUGAAAUAGCUGUCUGUAUAAUAAGUAGGUGGCACAGAUUAAGACCGCCUACCUGGGUAAAUUACAUAGCCGAUAAAGGAAUGUCCUAGAAAACAAGCAGCUUCCGCUGGGAGAAAAAAUGACUGCUGAACCUGAGCUACUGGAGGGAUACUUACAGGACCUUUCCUCUAGAGGGAGCAUGGUAGUGAAGUGUGGCUUAUUUCACUAGAACGUGCUGUUGUUCUUGAUUUUACUUGAUUUUUCUGAUGAUGUGUAGCAUCUUCCCAUAUGUUGUCACACACAUCUGCAUUGCUUCUUGUCAAUAGUGUCUGUUUAACUUUGCCUGUAGGAAUGAGGGGAAAGGACAGAUGACCUCAGUUUUA